rnacentral:rRNA from 1 species
UACGUAGGGUGCAAGCGUUGUCCGGAAUUAUUGGGCGUAAAGAGCUCGUAGGCGGUUCGUCGCGUCGGCUGUGAAAACCCGGAGCUCAACUCCGGGCCUGCAGUCGAUACGGGCAAACUAGAGUACUGCAGGGGAGACUGGAAUUCCUGGUGUAGCGGUGAAAUGCGCAGAUAUCAGGAGGAACACCGGUGGCGAAGGCGGGUCUCUGGGCAGUAACUGACGCUGAGGAGCGAAAGCGUGGGGAGCGAACAGG